AAAAGUGACGUCACCGACUUCAGAGUCAGGAGUUGGUGACGUCACAUUUUCUCUUUAGCUGAAAGCCAAAAUGUGACGUCACCGACUUUAGAGUCAGGAGUUGGUGACGUCACACUUUGU